rnacentral:rRNA from 1 species
GAUGAACGCUGACAGAAUGCUUAACACAUGCAAGUCAACUGUGGCGGACGGGUGAGUAACGCGUAAAGAACUUGCCUCACAGCUAGGGACAACAUUUGGAAACGAAUGCUAAUACCUGAUACUGUGAGAGAGCUUUGCGUCCCAUGAGCUAGUUGGAGAGGUAACGUGUCACCAAGGCGAUGAUGGUUAGCCGGCAUGAGAGGGUGAUCGGCCACAAGGGGACUGAGACACGGCCCUUACUACUACGGGAGGCAGCAGUGGGGAAUAUUUGACAAUGGACCAAAGUCUGAUCCAGCAAUUCUGUGUGCACGAUGAAGUUUUCGGAAUGUAAAGUGCUUUCAGUUGGGAAGCAGUACCAACAGAAGAAGUGACGGCUAAAUACGUGCCAGCAGCCGCGGUAAUAC